rnacentral:rRNA from 1 species
UACGAAGGGGGCUAGCGUUGCUCGGAAUGACUGGGCGUAAAGGGCGCGUAGGCGGAUCGGCUAGUCAGGCGUGAAAUUCCUGGGCUCAACCUGGGGACUGCGCUUGAUACGUCUGGUCUAGAGUUUGGAAGAGGGUCGUGGAAUUCCCAGUGUAGAGGUGAAAUUCGUAGAUAUUGGGAAGAACACCGGUGGCGAAGGCGGCGACCUGGUCCUUGACUGACGCUGAGGCGCGAAAGCGUGGGGAGCACACAGG